CUCAAUUUUUACAUCAACAAAUCGGUGUAGUAAAGUAAGGGAGGUGUGCGAGAGAUUGAGCCGGUCCAACUCCAUCCAAAACUUAUUGAACCCCAUUGGUUGUUGCAAUCUGGUAGCAUUGGUUGUUGCAAUCGUGGGUUCGUCGCCGCCGUCGAAUCCCGCUUCAUGACGCGUGUAGAAGCAUCGCAUUGGCGUCUCGAGGACGACAUCGCCCUCUCCAUCCUUGCGAUCGUUUGUGCCCGCCCGUCCCUUGGGAGCUUCAAGAGUCCAACAACGCCCUGUGAGGCAUCUUCACAUAUCGCACGUCUGCUGGUCUCCUCCUCUCCACCGAUCAAGCGAGAACACGACGGACAGACAGUCUAACGAACAAACAGGAGAUGGGCGCGUCCUCUUCCGCCGAUCACGGAGGCAUCUCGGAGCAACAGCAGCGACAGGAAGAGGAGGAAAACUUAGCCGCCGCCACUGGCUUCCUCCCCUCCCUUCGCAAUGCCUUCUCCAACCUCUCUCCGCCCUCCUCCUCUUCCGUCCCCCUCGCUUCCCUCCAGGAAGCGCUCUCCCUGAACGUGCAGGUUGUUGCGUCCGAAUCGACGCCGGUGCCGUAGCACUUCCCUGCCCUGUCGAACAAUCUCGGCGCAACCCUGGUCUCGCUCUUCUUCCCCGUUGCCGAUGAUCGUGCUGACGGUCGAAUUGAUUGGAUUGGCUUCUUGAGCGGCUACAACCGGUGCUGCGGCAGGAUGCCCGUCUCACGAUCCAUCAACGUGCUAUACAUAUUGUACGCCGCCCUGUCCCGGGAAGCCGAAGCGCCUUGCGGCUUUGAGUUCGAUCCCGAUGCUGGCGACGAUGAUAAGGUGGGCGGGUCUCUCUUGCCGGGAGAGGUGCUCAUGCUGUUCUGGAUCUGCUGGGUCUUGGGGCAUUCUUCGAGGAUCGCGAAGAUGUUCUUAGGAUGUCAGCACCAGAUCGUGUGAGGGGACCUUGAUAGGUGCGGGUGUCGAUGACGGUUGAGUUAUUAAUCGUGACUGAGCUGAUGGCUUCAUUUGUUAAGCUAGCUAUGAUAAAAGUGGAGUGACGAAUUAUAUAAUAUUCAUUAGUGUUUGCACACGUCGGGUGAAGUUGAAGAAUAUCUCGAUUGGAACGAGUAGGUGGCUCAAGAUUGUCGUUGGGAUCGAGAAGCGUAGGCUGUUGAACAAAUGUCAAUAUUGUAUCGGUGUUUGUGCCAAAGUUGAUGCAUCUAGGUGUGGUGGCUAUUGCCCCCCAAGUGAAAAUAUUAUGGGUCAUGGGUAAAAUUUCGUUGUUCAAGCAUUCAUUAAGAUGGUUGACUAGUCGACAUUUUUAUAACAUCGAGCCCUUUU